UCACAAGGCUUUGGUCGCCCGAGUCUAUAGCAGAAGUCACUCGCUCAAGGUGCCACGCAGUGGGACUGAACCCGGAACCAUGUGCUUGGUUCGCAAGCUACUUAACGCACCGCCAACCCCGCCUCUAUUUCGAGAGUCAUCUCCACUUACUUGCCAUCUCCUAUUCCAACUUAAAUCUACUUCCGGCAUCAGUAAAUUUGAAAUUAAUUUGGACCCGGAUCCGGUGCAACCGUUUCAAACUAAACUGAGAAGACAUGGACUCAAUCUAUAAUAAAAUUUGUAAUAAUGAUGUGGAAGGAUUGAAAAUCUUACUUGAGGAGGAGCCAGGCAAAAUUAAUAAACCUAUUGAUGGAGAUGGAACAACUCCUUUAAUCUUUGCCUCUCAAGUGGGCGCCGAUAGAAGAAUCAUCGACAUUUUGAUAAAAGCUGGUGCGAAGUUGGGAGCGAAAGACGGAUUGAGUGGUUGGACAGCUUUGCAUUGGGCUGUGAGGAGGUUAAUCCUCGAGAUGAAGGUGGUCGAACACCGCUGCACUUCGCCUGUUGGUGGGGAUCCUUGCACACUGUCGAUCUUUUGUUGGGUCACAAUGGCAUUGAAGCCAAUGUGAUUAACAACGAUGGAGACACACCACUGCAUAAGGCAGUUCAGCACCAACACUAUAAAGUGGUGUGUGCGAUGCUGAAGCAGGAUUCGGUGAAUUUAGAAAUUGUGAACAAAAAAUAUAGGACACCAUUGCUUGAAGCUGUCUCGGACGGUCACCUCGGAAUAAUGCAGCGGCUGAUAGCCAGGGGCACGAAUGUAAAUGUUGUUGAACAUGGAGGAAAUAAUUGCCUGCAUCUGGCGUUAAAAAGAAAAAACAACUUUCAUUCUGAGGUGGAGCACAUGACCAUGUUAGAUCAGGUAAGUUUUCACAUUGUUUGUGACUAUGUGUGUGUGUGUGUGUGUGUGUGUGUGCAUUUGUGCGUCUGUGUGUGUGUGUUUGUGUGUGUGUGCGUGUGUGUGUGCAUUUGUGCGUCUGUGUGUGUGUAAAAUAGACAAACUGACAGAGAAAGACAGACAGAAACAGACAUUGUUUAUAUCGCAAUUCUCACCUACCAACCCCAUCCUCCAUUACCAUUUCCUGAUCCAGUCACAAUGGUAACCCUUAGUUAUAUUAUUAUGUAACAAACACUAUUCUCUAUCCGUCCCCUUCCGUCCUCAAAGGCACGACCUCUCCAUGGUAGAGAAGGUGAUCCAUCUCGAAUGUUGGCCAUACAAACACGGUCAUCAAAAUUUGAAGGAGAAAUGAUCUAUUCAAGACAGGAGAUAUUAUUCUGAAUUAACAAUGAUACUGGGUAGAAGAGAGGUUCAUAUGAUAGACAGUAACAUUUAUAGUGCUGGUGCCAUGAUAAUAAAUACAUCUUGUCCAUUCCAUGAAGAAUUCUGCCUGAAACAGCUCUCUGUCACAUUUCUUUUAUAUAAU
rnacentral:misc_RNA from 1 species